rfam:Camelus ferus unplaced genomic scaffold scaffold1085, whole genome shotgun sequence.
GAGGGUAUAGCUUAGUGGUAGAGCACAUGCUUAGCAUGCACGAGGUCCUGGAUUCAAUCCCCCAGUACCUCCA